rnacentral:rRNA from 1 species
CUCGUGCAUGACCGAUAGCGAACAAGUACCGUGAGGGAAAGGUGAAAAGCACCCCGACGAGGGGAGUGAAAUAGAACCUGAAACCGGAUGCCUACAAACAGUCGGAGCCCGAGCCUUUUAGUAGGUUGGGUGACGGCGUACCUUUUGUAUAAUGGGUCAACGACUUAGUGUAACUAGCAAGCUUAAGCCGGUAGGUGUAGGCGCAGCGAAAGCGAGUCUGAAUAGGGCGAUUUAGUUA